rnacentral:lncRNA from 1 species
AAUAAAAAGUGAACCUUUGUGUUCCCAGGGAAAUGACGGAACACGAGGGGAGCCUGGAAGAAGUAUUCCAGGUUUGCCAGGAAAGAAAGGAGAACAGGGUGAGCGGGGUCUGCCUGGCAAUGAUGCGCAGAAGGGUGAGAGAGGAGAGCCUGGGCCAAGAGGAGAGAAAGGGUCACCUGGGACAGGAGGGUCAGGUGUUCUUGGACCUAAAGGAGAGCCGGGUGAUCGAGGACCUGCUGGAAUUAGUGGAAAGCCAGGUGCCAAGGGAGAUCUGGGUGAGCCAGGGGAGAGGGGUGAGAAUGGCCGUCCAGGAAUCCCAGGAAAGCCUGGUCUUCCUGGGAAAGAGGUCAGAGUUGUUUUGUGUAUUUAAAACUGAGUUAAGUCACGUAAUUAAUUCUUAUUACCAACAUUACGUUUAUCUCUAUACGUAUUGA